rnacentral:rRNA from 1 species
UAGGGAAGAAGCGAAAGUGACGGUACCUGCAGAAGAAGCGCCGGCUNANNACGUGCCAGCAGCCGCGGUAAUACGUAGGGCGCAAGCGUUAUCCGGAAUUAUUGGGCGUAAAGAGCUCGUAGGCGGUUUGUCGCGUCUGCCGUGAAAGUCCGGGGCUCAACUCCGGAUCUGCGGUGGGUACGGGCAGACUAGAGUGAUGUAGGGGAGACUGGAAUUCCUGGUGUAGCGGUGAAAUGCGCAGAUAUCAGGAGGAACACCGAUGGCGAAGGCAGGUCUCUGGGCAUUAACUGACGCUGAGGAGCGAAAGCAUGGGGAGCGAACAGGAUUAGAUACCCUGGUAGUCCAUGCGUAAACGUUGGGCACUAGGUGUGGGGGACAUUCCACGUUUUCCGCGCCGUAGCUAACGCAUUAAGUGCCCCGCCUGGGGAGUACGGCCGCAAGGCUAAAACUCAAAGGAAUUGACGGGGGCCCGCACAAGCGGCGGAGCAUGCGGAUUAAUUCGAUGCAACGCGAAGAACCUUACCAAGGCUUGACAUGAACCGGUAAUACCUGGAGACAGGUGCCCCGCUUGCGGUCGGUUUACAGGUGGUGCAUGGUUGUCGUCAGCUCGUGUCGUGAGAUGUUGGGUUAAGUCCCGCAACGAGCGCAACCCUCGUUCUAUGUUGCCAGCACGUGAUGGUGGGGACUCAUAGGAGACUGCCGGGGUCAACUCGGAGGAAGGUGGGGACGACGUCAAAUCAUCAUGCCCCUUAUGUCUUGGGCUUCACGCAUGCUACAAUGGCCGGUACAAAGGGUUGCGAUACUGUGAGGUGGAGCUAAUCCCAAAAAGCCGGUCUCAGUUCGGAUUGGGGUCUGCAACUCGACCCCNNGNAGUNG